rnacentral:lncRNA from 1 species
CACGAAGGCUGAGCCAUUGCCGUCCAUUGGUUCCAACCUCGCAUACUUCCUGGAUGAGCUUGCGGAUGAUGCUCGUUCUGAUUACCACAAUUUAAUGGCCGCUGCCUUGGACGGCGAGUACGAGACCUGCGCUUUGUACGCCGAUCAGCUGAAACGGAGGUGCAUCGACCACUUUAAAGACGGUGUUCUCGGCCUCGAGCACCUGGCGGCCGUUGAUGGUCUCUGCGACCUCGUGUCGAAGGAGUUGGGGGUGGCUGAUCCGGUGAAGACUUACCAUGUCAAUCUGUCGCUUUUCACCUCGAUGCCUGAUUUCUGGGCGAUCGGGCAGCUCUUCCCCAUCGUUCCAAUUCAUCGUCUCGACCAGCGGCCGGCGAUCAAGGGGAUUCUAUCCGAU